rnacentral:misc_RNA from 1 species
UUUCCGUAGGUGAACCUGCGGAAGGAUCAUUAUCGAAUAACCGACGUGCGAGGGCCGUCGCUCACCCGAAAGGUCGCGCACGCCCGCGUGCCCCUACAGACAUCCACCCCAACCCCACGUGCACCACCGCGCGGGUCCCUCCUUGGCUUGUCCGGAGGGGGCCCGACGCUUUAACACAAACUGUGAAUGCAGUGUAGAAUGUAUUUUCUGUUUUGGACACCACGCAACCAAGACAACCUUCACUAACGGAUCUCGUGGCUCUCGCGUCGAUGAAGAAGG